GACGAACGCUGGCGGCGUGCUUAACACAUGCAAGUCGAACGGAAAGGCCCUGCUUUUGUGGGGUGCUCGAGUGGCGAACGGGUGAGUAACACGUGAGUAACCUGCCCUUGACUUUGGGAUAACUUCAGGAAACUGGGGCUAAUACCGGAUAGGAGCUCCUGCUGCAUGGUGGGGGUUGGAAAGUUUCGGCGGUUGGGGAUGGACUCGCGGCUUAUCAGCUUGUUGGUGGGGUAGUGGCUUACCAAGGCUUUGACGGGUAGCCGGCCUGAGAGGGUGACCGGCCACAUUGGGACUGAGAUACGGCCCAGACUCCUACGGGAGGCAGCAGUGGGGAAUAGUGCACAAUGGGCGGAAGCCUGAUGCAGCAACGCCGCGUGCGGGAUGACGGCCUUCGGGUUGUAAUCCGCUUUCGCCUGUGACGAAGCGUGAGUGACGGUAAUGGGUAAAGAAGCACCGGCUAACUACGUG
rnacentral:rRNA from 1 species